AGUUAAUAAGCUUUAAAGCAUUUGUUUUGAAAACAAAAGAUAGAGGAUAGCUUCUAUUAACUU
rnacentral:tRNA from 1 species